CUAGCGGCAGGCUUAACACAUGCAAGUCGAGGGGUAUAGUUCUUCGGAGCUAGAGACCGGCGCACGGGUGCGUAACGCGUAUGCAAUCUACCUUUCACAGAGGGAUAGCCCAGAGAAAUUUGGAUUAAUACCUCAUAGUAUUAUAGAGUGGCAUCACUUUAUAAUUAAAGUCACAACGGUGAAAGAUGAGCAUGCGUCCCAUUAGCUAGUUGGUAAGGUAACGGCUUACCAAGGCUACGAUGGGUAGGGGUCCUGAGAGGGAGAUCCCCCACACUGGUACUGAGACACGGACCAGACUCCUACGGGAGGCAGCAGUGAGGAAUAUUGGACAAUGGGCGCAAGCCUGAUCCAGCCAUGCCGCGUGCAGGAUGACGGUCCUAUGGAUUGUAAACUGCUUUUAUACAGGAAGAAACACCUCUACGUGUAGAGACUUGACGGUACUGUAAGAAUAAGGAUCGGCUAACUCCGUGCCAGCAGCCGCGGUAAUACGGAGGAUCCAAGCGUUAUCCGGAAUCAUUGGGUUUAAAGGGUCCGUAGGCGGUUUAGUAAGUCAGUGGUGAAAGCCCAUCGCUCAACGGUGGAACGGCCAUUGAUACUGCUAGACUUGAAUUAUUAGGAAGUAACUAGAAUAUGUAGUGUAGCGGUGAAAUGCUUAGAGAUUACAUGGAAUACCAAUUGCGAAGGCAGGUUACUACUAAUUGAUUGACGCUGAUGGACGAAAGCGUGGGUAGCGAACAGGAUUAGAUACCCUGGUAGUCCACGCCGUAAACGAUGGAUACUAGCUGUUGGGAGCAAUCUCAGUGGCUAAGCGAAAGU
rnacentral:rRNA from 1 species